UUCAACGGCCGCGGUAUUUUAACCGUGCGAAGGUAGCGUAAUCACUUGUUUUUUAAAUAAAGACUAGUAUGAACGGCAUCACGAGAACUAAACUGUCUCCCCCAUCUAAUCAGUGAAACUGAUCUCCCCGUGCAGAAGCGGGGAUACAACCAUAAGACGAGAAGACCCUGUGGAGCUUAAAAUCAAAAAUCAACUGCUCACCCACUUCAAAAUAUCCACACAGCUAUGACUUAGAUUUUCAGCUGGGGCGUCUACGGAGUAAAAACUACCCUCCGCGAAGAAUUAUACCAAGAACUACCAUUCUAAGUAUUAAUAAAUUUAACUUAAAUUGACCCAAAUUUUUGAUCAACGGACCAAGUUACCCCAGGGAUAACAGCGCAAUCCACUUCUAGAGUCCCUAUCGACAAGUGGGCUUACGACCUCGAUGUUGGAUCAGGGCACCCAAGUGGUGCAGCCAUUACUAAAGGUUCGUUUGUUCAACGAUUAAAG
rnacentral:rRNA from 1 species